rnacentral:rRNA from 1 species
UUUUCCGUGCUGGACCUGUAAAAGUUCCCUUGGAAUAAGACGUCAUAGAGGGUGAAAAUCCCGUACUUGAUGUGGCCGCCCAGUGCUUUGUGAUACACUUUCCAUGAGUCGAGUUGUUUGGGAAUGCAGCUCAAAAUGGGUGGUAAAUUCCAUCUAAAGCUAAAUAUUGGGGAGAGACCGAUAGCGAACAAGUACCGUGAGGGAAAGAUGAAAAGCACUUUGGAAAGAGAGUUAAAUAGUACGUGAAAUUGUCGAAAGGGAAGCGCUUGAAGUUAGACAUGCUAGUUGGAAUUCAGCCUUGCUUUUGCUUGGUGCAUUUUCCGGUUAGCAGGCCAGCAUCAGUUUUGCCUGUCGGAUAAGGGUAGGAGGAAUGUGGCCCCUCGGGGUGUUAUAGCCUCUUACUGGAUACGACGGGUGGGACUGAGGACAGCAGUGCGCCUUUAUGGCGGGCCUUCGGGCACCUUCGCACUUAGGAUGCUGGCGUAAUGGCUUUAAGCGACC